GACGAACGCUGGCGGCGUGCUUAACACAUGCAAGUCGAACGGAAAGGCCCUGCUUGCAGGGUGCUCGAGUGGCGAACGGGCGAGUAACACGUGGGUGAUCUGCCCCUUACUUUGGGAUAAGCCUGGGCAACUGGGUCUAAUACUGGAUAGGACCAUGCUGUAGGUGGUGUGGUGGAAAGAUUAGUUUCGGUAAGGGAUGAGCUCGCGGCCUAUCAGCUUGUUGGUGGGGUAAUGGCCUACUAAGGCGUCGACGGGUAGCCGGCCUGAGAGGGUGGACGGCCACAUUGAGACUGAGAUACGGCCCAGACUCCUACGGGAGGCAGCAGUGGGGAAUAUUGCACAAUGGGCGCAAGCCUGAUGCAGCGACGCCGCGUGGGGGAUGACGGCCUUCGGGUUGUAAACUCCUUUCAGCCAUGACGAAGCCCUUGUGGUGACGGUAGUGGUAGAAGAAGCACCGGCUAACUACGUG
rnacentral:rRNA from 1 species